rnacentral:rRNA from 1 species
AUGGCCGCCGCCUCCACCCUCCGCCGCGCCGCCGUCGCCCUCCUCCGCCCGUCUGCAACCGUCGCCGGCCUCCACCCCACCACCUCCCUCCACGCCGCCGCCAGCCGCCGCGCGCUCUCCAUGGUCGGCCCCGGCUUCUCCUUCGGCCAGCGCCGCCUCCUCUCCGACGUCGUCGACAGGGCCACAUCAGAUGAGAUCCUCAAGGAGAUCGCGAGGAUCGACGCCGCCGGCGUCCAGCGCCACGCGGCGAGCAACAAGCAAAUCACCGAUCUCGCGACCAAGGUCAUCGGCUACACGGAGGCUGUGGCGACGAAGAAAUACGAGAAGACGGUCGAGGUUGGGCAGACGUCCCUCAAGGUCUCUUUGCUGGUGCUCGUCGCCGCUGGUCAUCGGGUCCACUUCACUGUGCGUGAUCCACUACGCCGGAAGGACCGCCGUGACCGACAAGGCCAAGAAGCUGGUGGAUAA